rnacentral:tRNA from 1 species
AUCUUUUGAGUAUGAAGAGUACGCCUGCCUUCCAAGCAGGAGGAUUAAAAAAAUUUAAAGAAGAUA